ACGAACGCUGGCGGCGUGCUUAACACAUGCAAGUCGAACGGAAAGGCCCUGCUUUUGUGGGGUGCUCGAGUGGCGAACGGGUGAGUAACACGUGAGUAACCUGCCCUUGACUUUGGGAUAACUUCAGGAAACUGGGGCUAAUACCGGAUAGGAGCUCCUGCUGCAUGGUGGGGGUUGGAAAGUUUCGGCGGUUGGGGAUGGACUCGCGGCUUAUCAGCUUGUUGGUGGGGUAGUGGCUUACCAAGGCUUUGACGGGUAGCCGGCCUGAGAGGGUGACCGGCCACAUUGGGACUGAGAUACGGCCCAGACUCCUACGGGAGGCAACAGUGGGGAAUAUUGCACAAUGGGCGGAAGCCUGAUGCAGCAACGCCGCGUGCGGGAUGACGGCCUUCGGGUUGUAAACCGCUUUCGCCUGUGACGAAGCGUGAGUGACGGUAAUGGGUAAAGAAGCACCGGCUACUACGUG
rnacentral:rRNA from 1 species